rnacentral:lncRNA from 1 species
UUCUGAAAAUAUUGCCUGAUAUUGAUGACCCAUCCCUCAAAAGGCAGAGAACUAAAGAAGUUAUUUUUUAAAAAAAUAUUGUAAAGGAUGAUAUUGUUGUCAUCUCUAUGAUGAUAACAAAGUAUGAUAUAAAAAAAGUUCUUAUUGAUAAUGAAAGCUUUGUUGACGUAUUGUUCUGUGAUGCUUUCUUAAAAAUAAAUUUAACCAG